rnacentral:lncRNA from 1 species
UCUUGAAUACGUUAAGAAAGUCUUGUUUGUGUAGAAGAGUUUCAAAUCAUGUGAGUGAUGAAGGGACCCUUCUGUUGAACCUUGGUGUGCAUUUUAGGUCCAUUUUGGGUUUACUCCUUUGUGCUGCUUCAUGAUGCCUUAGGACAAGGACAAGGCCUAGGCCUCCUUGUCUCAGUUCCCUCCUGCUCUCUCUGUUGCCCUCCUCCUUCCACCUGGAGCAUGGCCCAGCAUCAGGUUGGCGCAUGCUGUGAUCAGCUACCUCCAUGCACCACACCAAGCAAAGCUCUCUGGGUGACACAGUUGCCACCACCAGGGCACUGACCUUUACUCUGUGUUCUCCUAGCUCCUCCUGAGGGUGCUGUAGGAGACAUCUGCAAAAAAGAAGAUGCUGGCAAUAUGCCAUCAACCUCAGAGGGGAGUAU